UUUUAAAGGUGGUGGUGGUGGAGGUGGUUGCGAGAGGCGAAGGGGGGUUUAACCCUUCUUCACUUGGUUGCUUCCGGCUACGCGUGGGGGCCAGUGAAAGUAAAACGGGUCCGUCUGCCUCUGCAUUAUCAGGGAAGGGACUGCUUGCUCCUGCUCCGCCCAUGGCGAAUGACCACGACCUCCCAGAGCAGCAUCGAGUCUACUUCUACGUCACGGGUGUUCCAUGCAGGGUAAAGCACACACACGGUUGGGGGAGGCGGCCAUGCCCACCUUUCUUCUGCUGCUAAUUAAACUCAUCUUUGUUAGCUGCUGCUGCUGUGUGUUCGUGCAUGUGCACCUCGUUUUCCCCCCACCUGCAAGAUUUUAUGUGUCAGACCCAAGCAUUGUCCUCUAUCUCCGUUGCUUUUCAGGUAAGUCACUGGAUCACUUCUCUGUGGGGGAAAAGCCAUCGUCAAUCAAUCAUCACAGUUGGGGUCCUGGGGAGAAAGAGGUGGCACCAGAUGUUCGUAUUCCAGGACAGAGGGCAUCUCCCUUUUGUUUACCCGGAGCAGCAAGCUCGCUGCUAGCUAGGCAAUUUCCAAUCAGAAAUCUUUGCUUCUCCAAUCCGGGACGGAGCACGUUGCCGCCGCUCAACCUGUCCGCGAUCAGUGAAGAACCGGGCUUUCUAUAAUGACACAGCAGGACUUGCGGUUGAGCCAGGAUAAACCGACUUUUAGCUCGCUCACUGGCGCACUCCAGGUGACCCUGCUGUCAUGGUGCAUGCAUUAUCUAGAAAGAGUGGGAGAUAAGGGACGGCAGCAGCGUGGCGAUUAGCAAGCUGGCAUUAGAAGAUCACGGGGGUAGGGCGAGUUUGACGAAUGAACGAGAGGCAUCUUUUCCGGGGUCCCCAACAGGACAUAGGUCCACCCCCUCCCUACAGCACCACACAGGCACAGGCACAGGCACAGGCCCAAGAUCAUCCAGAGUGGGAAGCUUGUUCUCUAGAGGCGCUCGAGUUCGAAAGUCGUCAACAAG